ACCCUAGCCGCCUCUGCUCUCCCCACCCCCGCGCGAUCCGGUUCCUCAUCCGCCUGCGGGACCCCCAUCGCUUGCGACGGUGGCGGCGCUUCUGGGCAACCCGGUGGCGGUUCUGACGGAGAGAUCGGCGCCGCGGCUCACGAGGCUGCUAGAGAACGUGAUGGUGGAGCGGAGCCUGUGGGCGGUCCACGUCGUGCUGGGCGCCGAUCCCGCCGUGGCGGACCACGCGCGCACCGCCGUAGCCACCUACAUCGCCGAGGGACGCAGGCCGCCGCUCCCCGCCGACGCCAAUGACAUCGAUGCGGCCGCACGGUUCGAGCUGCUUCUCUCCAACGCUGAACCCUGACGAGAAGGUGUUGGAUCUGGGGUCUCACAACUUCUUCAUAUGCGCCAGAAGAUUCUGAAGGAGAACAUGGCGCUGCUCUUCCUGGCAAUCGUCCAAUGCUGAAGCCAUUGAAGUUACUACAAAACAUGCUUCCACAAUUUCUGAAGCAGGUCAGGUAUAUACUCCCUUGUUUUUUUACUAUAGUAACCAUUUUUUAGUACUCCCUGCAUGUUUAGUAGUUCAACCUGCAUUGUUACAACCUGAGAAAUAUAUUUGGUGGCACAAUAAAAUCAAGGAUGUAUUUCUGUUUCUAAUUAAAUGGAGUAUUCUUUUUUGCUAUCUGAAAAAUACUAAGGUCUGAAACUACUGCAGUAUCAUUGUUAGAACUGCCGUAUCUCUGAAAAUAGUAAGGCCUGCAAUUCCUUGUGCUUGAAGAGGUUUUGUAACUUGGCAAAAGAAUUUCUAAACCUGCAUUACUGAGCUUGUGCAGGAGUUAUUUUCUGCAACGCUCAGACUUUGUUUUAGAAUUCUUGCAGAGGUCUUAAUACACUCUCUUGGGAGUACAUUACAUACUUCUUCAUUCGUACUAAGACUUGUGCAUACUGUUCAAGAUAUGGUAGCUUUUUCAGGAGAUCAUGCUGGUCGAGCAGGUCUCCGCGGCGGCGAACGACUACGACUCCGUCCUUGUAGAAGGAGAAGGAUGGAUGCGGGAGUUCGAUCUCCUGCGUCGGGGGAGACCUAACCCGACAUGCGCUGGUGGUGGGGACCAUCCUGGUCGAGCAGGUCAACGCGGGCGGUCGCCGAAGGCGCGGAGACCUGCUAUGCAGGCCUGGGUCAGCUGGUUUUACAAGACCUAACGAUGGAGUGCGCGGCCUGUUACCUCUCGCUGGCUGGGUUUUGCAUCUGAAUAUAUGAAGAUGCUUGUGCCAGUGAGGAGAAAGAGCUUCAAGAAGAGCAGCGGCCAUGCAGCCUCUCCCUACUGCUGUUCAUUGUGGCGGUUCAGUUCUGGGUGAUUGAGAGGGUCUUACGUCUUCGAGCUAGCAGCAGGUUCACGGUAGAAAAUACUCAUCCAAGAACAACAGGUUUGUGCGCAGGUUCCUUUUAUAUAUCAGCAACC